AUGCAGACCAAAGCUAUAUUGCAAAAACUAGAAUACGCUGAAUCUUCUCUAGAAGCGAGAGGUCAAGAGAUAGUGUCUUUGCAAGAGCACGUCCAGGAGCUUCGAGAGCAGAAGGAGUUAGAAGGCAAGCAGGCCAAGAGUCUAGAGCAGGAUCUAGACAAAAUGAGCCAAAUCUUGAAGGAGAACCAUUUGGAGUUCCUCAGGCAGACAGAGCAAAUGAACGUGUUCCGGCUUCGUGAAGAAAGCACAAAAGUAGCACUAACAUCAUGCCAGCAGCAAGUGGAUCUGCUUGAGCAAGCGGUGAGGAAGAGAGAGGAAGACAAUGAAACUCUCGUGCAAAAACUCCAGCGGCAAGAAGAAGAACUGAAGACCUUGCAGAAUCUCCAGCUUAGGCUAACCAAGAAGAAUGAAGAGGUUAGGCAUCGCAGGGAGCAAGAGAAGCUCCUGGAAGAAGCCUUGCAUGAGAAGGAGCAAGAGACCAAGGCUGAAGGUGAACUAAAAGAGUUAGAAGAGGAAGUAAGAGCUCUUCGGGAAGAUCUCCAGCAUGUUCAGCCGACUCUGACAAAGAAGGAUGAAGAGAUCAAGAACCACAGAGACAGAGUCGGGUACUUAGAGAAGACUCUGACAGAGAGAGAACAAGAGCUUAGGAGGCAGAGUGAACUCUUGAAGCAAUUAACAUCAGCUUUGCGAUGGAAGGAUGGCGGGGAGACCCUACAGAAACAAAUCCAGAAACUCCAGAAAUGGGAGGAAGAGGAAGCAGAGAAGAGGCGAGUUCUCCAGGAGAGAGACCGUUCCUUGCAAAGACAGAAGGAGCUAACCCAACAACUGGCGCAUGAGCGGAAAGCCAAGGGGGAAGAAUUGGAGCGCACGAUUGCUAUUUUGAAGCAGACCGAGAGCAGAGAAGUCAAAUGGAGAGAGAAGGCACAAGCACUGACUCUUGCCCUUACCAAGAGUGAAAUGGCCAAUGGGACUCUGAGGGAAGAAAUAGCCAUCCUGCAGAGUAUGGUUUCGGAGAGGGACACGGACCGGUUUCAUCAUCAGCAGGCUAUUGCAGAAGGGGAGCAGCUAUCAUGGCUCUCGGAGAAGAGACUCCUGUCACAGCAGCUGGAAUGUCUGCAGCGAGCAGUUGCAAGGCUGGAACUGGAGAAGGGAGCUGAAGCAACUCAAUGCUGAGCUCAGGAGGACUCUCGAGCAGGUGGAACGUGAACGGAGGAGACUGAAGAGAUAUCACAGUGGUCGGUCGCUGCCAGAUGCGUGCGGAUUUUUGCUCUCUGACCAGCACAAGAUGGCUGCUUCUAGACAGGUGAGAACAGAAUCUCACUUGGUGGGAGGAGGGUCUGGCCAUACAGAGGAACAGUGGCAAAUGCCAGUGGCAGCAGCCCCCCAGUGUAGACCUAAGAGAAGUGGAACGUAGACCAUGGCCCUGGCCACACUGGAGACCAACAGGAAAUCCUUGCAUUUUCUUCACAGGAGGAGUCUCACGCUCGCUGCAGUCGUCGAUUAGCUGAGUUGCAGAACCAGGUGAGGAGUAGGAAAGCUCUCAUCAAAAGCUGCCAUGGCUGUACUGAGGGGCACAGCUUUGCAGGAUGCUACAGCCCGAGUUUUGUUUGGCUGUCAGGAAGUGAGUACACCAGGCAGUGGAAAUACCCAGUCAGUCAGACACAUCUGUUGGCCAUGGCCAAACAACAUCAUGCACCUAGGUCUAGUCUCUGACUUGCCUAAAGGUCAGGCAUGGUGGGAGAGGGAUUGGAGGAAAUUCAGAGAACUGGCACUUGCCGGAAUAUAGAGAAGAUUCUAAGGAUGUUCCCCUUGAGUCUUACUCAUCUUGUUGACUGCUUCCAUUUUCCCUUGACUCCGUUAACAGUGGAGCUUGCACUCUAUCAGAGCUCCAGGGAUCUGAGGCGGCGCCAGAGCUUACAGCCUUCAGGCAACCGUUAGUCUCCUAUUGCUAUGCUGUGCUAAUCACGAUCCCAGUAUCGGACCGAGUCGGAGACCCAAGCACAGUGUGGACGCUUGUUUUAUCAGUGUAAGAAUGUACAUCCCAGCUCCUGAACCCUACUGCAUCCCUUGACAGCGGUACUGGCAGUAGCAGCAGUCCACGUACUUUUAUGGGUCUGGUGCGCCCCGGUCUCCCUGAGGAGGUGAAUCUUCGCAGGUGUUCAGGGCAAAAUGCCGUAAGAUUUAUGCGAGUAAAGUACACGGUGCUCAGCUCUGGCAAGUGAGCCGAGCAUACCGCUGAAGCCAUCAAGUUAUACCUUAAGGGUGUUUUCACCAGGAAGCCUCAGCGCCUGAAGUUCUGUUGCUACAGAUAACGGAUUGAACCCCCUUCCCCCUGUGAGGUUGUGUCUGCCUGCGCUGUGGACCUACUCCAGCAGUUCAGCAGGAAAAUGAAGGUGCUCUGCUCAAAGAAUCGUCCUCAGCUGGCUAGUUGGGGCACUCCUCUGGGUCUGGGAAACAGCGGAACUGGAACUUGAUCUCCCCCUUCCUGGCAGUUGCUCUUAGCAGCAGAUGGCCACUUCUGCCACGCAUACCUCUGGGUUACCUACCAAAGCGUGGGAGGCUUCCAAGCCCAGCUGCACAAAGGUGCCCUUGUUAUUUCAGAGAGAAGGCCAGAGCUGUCCCUCUCUUCAGGGGUGGUGUUCCCUAGCCUAUGCGUAUCGUUUGCUGUGAAGUCCCUCUGACGUCUUGCUUUCCGUGCGCGCUACCGGCUUCUAAUUCAGCACGUCGCAUUCCCCUUCUGGAGCUGGCUGCCCGAGUUUCCCACCUAGUCUGCUCUAGAUGCUUAGCAGAUUAGGGACCCUCUUUUUAUCUGGUUUGGCUUUACGUUGGCAGACCUGGGUAUUGUAAUUCAAACGGAGCAGGUUCCAUAAGCCAUUAAAACUCCUUUAGGAAUUGCUUCUGUUAUUUUCCUCAGGGCUCGGUGUUGGUCCCUGUUCUGUUUAAUAUCCUUAUCGAUGAUUUGGAUGAGGGGAUUGAGUGCACCCUCAGCAAGUUUGCAGACGACACCAAGUUGGGAGGCAGGGUCGAUCUGCUUGAGGGUAGGGAGGCUCUACAAAGAGAUCUGGACAGGCUGGAUCGAUGGGCUGAGGCCAAUCGUAUGAAGUUCAACAAGGCCAAGUGCCGGGUCCUGCACUUCGGUCACGGCAACCCCAUGCAGCGCUACAGGCUUGGGGAAGAGUGGCUGGAAAGCUGCCUGGCAGAAAAAGACGUGGGUGUGCUGGUUGACAGCUGGCUGAAUAUGAGCCAGCAGUGUGCCCAGGUGGCCAAGAAGACCAAUGGCAUCCUAGCCUGUAUCAGAAAUAGUGUGGCCAGCAGGAACAGGGAGGUGACUGUUCCCCUGUACUCAGCACUGGUGAGGCCGCACCUCGAGUACUGUGUUCAGUUUUGGGCCCCUCACUACAGGAAAGACAUUGAGUUGCUGGAGCGUGUUCAGAGAAGGGCAACCAAGUUGGUGAGGGGCCUGGAGCACAAGUCUUAUGAGGAGCGGCUGAGGGAACGGGGGCUGUUUAGUCUAGAAAAGAGGAGGCUGAGGGGAGACCUUGCAGCUCUCUACAACUACCUGAAAGGGGGUUGUAGUGAGGUGGGUGUUGGUCUCUUCUAUCAAGUAACUAGUGAUAGGACAAGAGGAAAUGGCCUCAAGUUGAGGCAAGGGAGAUUUAGGUUAGAUAUUAGGAAAAAAUUUUUUUUACUGAGAGGGUUGUCAAACAUUGGAAUAGGCUGCCCAGGGAAGUGGUUGGGUCACCAUCCCUGGAGAUAUUCAAAAAGCGAGUGGACGGGGUACUUCAGGACAUGGUUUAGUGGGCAUGGUUGAUGGUUGGACUCGAUGAUCUUGAAGGUCUUUUCCAACCUGAAUGAUUCUAUGAUUCUAUGAUUCUAUGAUUUGAGUUCAUUUGCCAAGAAAGAAUAUUUUCGUACUCCUAGCUCGAGGUUGGGGAUGGCAUUCCCAUGUGGAACAGAGCCCUUGGCAAAGCACAUGUCACUUUGAAAACAGGAGACCCUCCGGCCUGAGGUUCUCCCCGAAACAGCAAAGCACCGAGCGCUGCUCCCGGUGCUGGCAUCUUCUCCGCUCCAAAAAGCAGGCAGAGGGCAACAUGCCAGAGGUGCUGUGGCUGCGCUGCCCUGCCAACCUGACAGGAGGUGAGAGCGGCUGGGUCUCUCCCACCAAAAAGCCCAGCAGGCACAACCCGCUGUUGCCAGGAAAUAAUAAGAGUUUGAGGAUUUUGAAGGCCUCGGCAGUCCUUUAAGGCUCAUUUGCCCCCUGGGCUUUGUUCAUCAGAUUAUGCUCUGCUCAUUUGUGAAAUGCUCUGAAGUUAGGAAGAGUGAGAGUUUUCUCCCAUUUCAUGUGCUAGCUGUCAGGUUUCUAAACUAGAUCAUAACAGAACGGUUCUUCACUACCUUGUGUAAGCAGCAGUCCUCCUGCUGAGGAGCAAGCAUGUGGAACUAAGGUGGCAGUAGCCCAGAUCUCUCCUUUGAAAAAGAGGGUUGGGUUACGAAAUCCUGUAGAAACCUCUCUCUUUAAUAUGCAUGUAAUGUCUCGGUGUUGUACCUGUGAAUGGUAUGCCAGAAAGAAACUCGGAAUUGUCGGUAAUGUGAGCUCAGUUCAGGGUGGCUCUGGGAAGCUGUUAGUUCCCAUUCCACAAGGACAACGUGUUUGUCAGGGCUGGAGUUGGAGGGUGCGUCUUCCCUGACAGCCGGAUCUGUGGAGCUACGGAUGGUCCUAACAGCGUGGGCUUGUCUGAGCUCGGCCUUUUGCCUCUUUCAGGUGUCCCUUCUGCAGACGCAGCUGGCACAAGAACGAAAAUACAAGCAGGACUAUAUCGAGUGCUGUGCCAAGACCAGCCAGGAGCUGUCAGACCUUCACCAAGAGCUGUCUCGCUCCUUAGCAGCUGUGGUCAGGGAGCCCAAAGCUGCUGUUCUGGAAGCAGAGACUCGGAAGCUGGGUCAGCCUCUCUGAACCUUCUUUUCCCGUAGAGGAGCAGCUGCAGCAUCACGGCGUUCCGGUCUUGUGCCCUUCCUGGAAAUGUAUUAUGUUUUGCUGUGGGAAAUGGGGGUACAUUUGUUCUGUUUGCGUUCGGAAGCAUUUCCUAGCGACAGCGAUUUUUAAAAUUUUUUUUUAAUAAAAGAGAUUUUGCAGGACUGCACUUUUUUAGUAGGAAAAAGCAA
ensembl:lncRNA